UGGUGAUAAUGACCCAGCAGUCCCAAGGUGCCGGGCUCUGGGCUGGGGUCCAUGUGGUCUUUAUAACAAUUCAGCAAGAAACAUGUAAUGAUAUCCAUUUUAUAGAAGAGGAAACUGAAGUUCAGAGAGGCAGAGUGAUUCGCCUCUAAAUUCCAAAGUGGCCGAGGUGGGCUUGAGCCCAGCUUCUCUACUGUCUCAGCUAGUCCCCCAUCUAACUGGGGCAGGUGGGAUGAGGCAGUGGGGGCCAGACAGCGACCGAUGUUUCAGAGGAGACCUUGACUUAACAGGCCACCCGAUGCCAAAGAAUGGCUCCUAUGGACUCCAGCUUCUGGAACACACCGAACGACCGCCUGCCUGAGGCCAGAGGGAUUCACACACAUGCCUCACCCCACUAGAAGCAGGCCUGGGGUCUAACUUCCAGUAUGUGUGGGAGUUGGUGAGCCCAGCGCAGGCCCCACCCCAAGGAGACAGGUUUGGAACUCCAUCGGCCCUCGGAACCGAGCUCUGUGACCCAUGGGGUAACCGUGGCAAUGAUCAGCCAAGCUCAGAUGGAGCCACUUUGGGCCACUCUGAACUUGGAAACCACAUUGGGGAGACAUCAGUCCAUCCAGGGCUCAGCAAACUAAGGAGGCAGCUACCUCUACGAUUCGAUUAAAGUUGGAGAGAUUAUGAAGAAGUAUUGCUGACUUCUAGAUCUUUCCCUCCCUAUGGUUAUUUUGCCCGGAUUCCUACUUAGGCCUCUAGCCUCCCUGCUAUAUUGCUGGACCACCUAGAAGGAAAAUGGCUGCCAUUUGCAACGAGCGUCAAAACAUGAAUUAACUUCUGCCAGGGGAUGGUAGAGGAGUAGGGAAGCAUCACAGGACAGGGCCCUGCCUACGCCAGAAGUGCUCAUGUGAUCGGAGAGCCUGAGUGCCGACUGAAAAGGGAAGUGAGUCGAUUUGGGGCCUCCCCCAUUCUCUGGCCCCAUUUUCCGCCACGGGGCUAGGAGCCGGGAUUCAGUCUGUCGAGCCUACCAACCCCAUCACUUAGUCCUCGCUACAAUGGGGUAUUCCCAUCCCCCACCUAAGGGUACGGAACUGAGGCUGAGGGGGUUGGAUGACUUCUCCAAGGUCAUACAACUAGGGAGAGGCACAGCUCGGACUUGAACUGGGGUGGUCUGACAUCAGCCCUUGCUCUCCCGCCCACCGUGCUCGGGUGUCCUCGCCCUCCACGGCCAUCUCUUCACUUGACAAAGGGGGGCGCUGAGGCCCAGAGAGGCCAAGAAAGCUCCCCAAGGUCACACGGUCGAUUGGUUGUAGAGCGAGGCUGGGGAACAGAAAAGAAUGGCUUUUUGCUGCAUGCUUGGGAGAAGCCUACAGGACUCGUGACUUCGGCUUUGCUGGUCCUCCAGCUGGAGGCGGGUGUCCUCCAGGUCACAGGUCAGAUGGCGGCACUUCCUCUUUAGCUGCUGCCAUUUCUGAGGUGAGCACAGUGGGAAAGAGAACAGGUACUGGGGUCGGAGAGACCCUGUCUUGACCACUUUCUGCCUGUUUCCCAGGGAGGAAGCUACUUCUCUGACCCCGUCUGCUCAAGAGGUGCCCCAUAGAGUCUUUACAAGCCCUGCCUCCACAAGAAGACUGAGGACUGUAUACCUAAUAACCCCAUCAGCCGGCAUCAUCCCAGAGCCCAUGUGGGGAUUAGCCAUGGAGCAGCCAAAAUGGUGGCCGUAGAAGAUCUGGCCAGGAGAUCUGAGAGAUGGGCUCUGAAGUUGGGUUUAGCUACAGCUCAGGAUGUUCUUGGGGAGUAGACAUAAUGCCCUUCUGGGAAGUGACCACUAAAACCAUCAACACCAUGGAGGAUCCUGAGUUUCACUGCCAUUAUUUAUCAAAUCCCAUGUGAUCUCACCCUGGCCCACCUCUGCAGGUUCGGCCAAUACCUUGAACGGUGGAGGUAGGAACCUGCCCAAUCUGACAUUCUUGGGACCCAGACUAGCUACGACCUCUUACCUUCUGCUCCAGCUCUUUCCUGGAUGUCAACUCAGAGUCCAGCCUCUC